GCCUGGGGUAUGAAUAUUCACAGUGAAUCCGAUAGCAGGAAGAGAAAACGCAACCACAAGGAUAAAUAAAAGUAAUACAGAUUCCACAUCGACCAGGGUGAAAGAGCAGAGAAUAAAACCCCGGAAACGCUAGCUUGGAACAGGAAUGACGGUCUGAGGAAGAUUCCGUUGCGGGCUUGUACAUACAUCUGUGGUAUAGGGCUUGUCAGAGGUAUGGGAUAAGGUGAUUGAUAUAACAGGCAAUACAAUAUGAUGCAGUACAUCGUUGAACAGUGUGAACAUGGACGAUGGUUCAUCAUGGAUUUGUUCAGCCAUGUAAUGCAUUACUGCAGGGGAGAGAAAGCGAUGUGCAAUAUCGUAGAUAGAUGGAGGAGCAGUCCAUUCAAUAUAAGGAAAAGAAAGUGGGUAGAAACUAGAGACGUC
rnacentral:sRNA from 1 species